GACGAACGCUGGCGGCGUGCUUUACACAUGCAAGUCGAACGGUGAAGGUGGAGCUUGCUCCGCCGGAUCAGUGGCGAACGGGUGAGUAACACGUGGGCAACCUGCCCCUAACUUUGGAAUAACUACUCGAAAGAGUAGCUAAUACCGGAUAUGAAGUCUGUAGGCAUCUACGGAUUUGGAAAGUUUUUCGGUUAGGGAUGGGCCCGCGGCCUAUCAGCUUGUUGGUGAGGUAGUGGCUCACCAAGGCGACGACGGGUAGCCGGCCUGAGAGGGCGACCGGCCACACUGGGACUGAGACACGGCCCAGACUCCUACGGGAGGCAGCAGUGGGGAAUAUUGCGCAAUGGGCGAAAGCCUGACGCAGCAACGCCGCGUGCGGGAUGAAGGCCUUCGGGUUGUAAACCGCUUUCAGCAGGGAUGAAACCGACAGUACCUGCAGAAGAAGCCCCGGCUAACUACGUGCCAGCCGCCGCGGUAA
rnacentral:rRNA from 1 species